rnacentral:rRNA from 1 species
UACGUAGGGUCCGAGCGUUGUCCGGAAUUACUGGGCGUAAAGAGCUCGUAGGUGGUUUGUCGCGUUGUUCGUGAAAACUCACAGCUCAACUGUGGGCGUGCGGGCGAUACGGGCAGACUUGAGUACUGCAGGGGGAGACUGGAAUUCCUGGUGUAGCGGUGGAAUGCGCAGAUAUCAGGAGGAACACCGGUGGCGAAGGCGGGGUCUCUGGGCAGUAACUGACGCUGAGGAGCGAAAGCGUGGGGGAGCGAACAGG